rnacentral:lncRNA from 1 species
CCACUCAACAAAGAAUUUUUUUGCCGAGUGCGAGAACAUUGCACUCGGCUAAAAAACAUUUUUUUUAUUUUUUUAAAUAACUCUUUGCCGAGUGGCAGUGCCCGCACUCCGCAAAGAAACUUUUUUUUAUUUUUUUAAAUAACUCUUUGCCGAGUGUCAUAGAGCUACACUCGGUGAAGAAACAUUUUUUAUUUUUUUAACUAUCUCUUUGCCAAGUGUCGUGUUCCUAGCACUCGACAAAGGCCUCUUUGUCGAGUGCCACACUCGGCAAAGCUAACAUAUUUUUUAUUUUUUUCCUUUCUAGUGACACAAACUAAUAAAUCACAUAGAUAUCAUCACAAAUAGCACAUGAUACAUCACAUACAUGUUCAUAAUCCAUCGUAUACACAUCCAUCAUCCAUAAUCCAUCACAUACACAUAUAUUGUCCAUAAUUUGUCACAAUUCAUCACAUACACAUAUAGUGUCCGAAAUCCAUCACAUACAUAAUAAUAUAUCUCAACUAAAAAUCCAACACAAGUCUAUGUCCAAUAUAAGGCCGAGGAACAUGAAAAGAGAUAAAUGAACAAUACCUACUGCCAUCCUCCCCACCCAGAAUGUGAAGCGCCAGGCUGUUCUCCGUUCGGUGGAGGAGGGCCACUUGGCCACCCAGACUGUGGAGAAGGGCCACCAUGAGGAAUCGAGUUUUAACCUGCCGACUAUGGCUGCACAAAGGAGAAGCAAAUUCAUGAGUAUUUACGGGAGGGCCGCACAAGCUAAAGUAAUAAACCACCAUAUAUACUCAUCAACGUCCCUAUAGGAGGAGUAGGAGCCACAACUAGAGUGAGAAGCGACUCGGGGAUGACCACACCUAGCAAGGCCUGAAGGCUCUUCAUAAAGCUGAACAUGUCUCGUAUCCUCUACUCCCCAGCUGCCCUUUGGGCUUGUACGACCUCCAUCUCCAGCCGAUGGGCCAGCGCCUAGGCCGCCUGCUGGCCCUCUAACCUCUGCACAUCGGCCUGCAACAUUCCACACACAAUUUUUAAACAAUGCAAAGGCAAGGUAGAUGUGUAAAAGCAAUGAACAAUGAAUAAAAUAGUGCUAACCUAGAGGUUUGCCAUCACAUGCUGUGAGCUCUACUACUGAGGGUGUAUGGGGAGGGAGGAGCUUGUGCUCCUUGCUUGAAUCUUGGUGAGGUUGGGAAUAGAGGCGGAGUCGACUAUGUUGUCCAUCAUCUAGUAUCAGCCGCGCUGCUUCCCUCCUCCUAGCUUCAUUAGGAGGACUGUGUCUAGGGGCUCGACGGACGGAUCGAAGUCCUCCCCAUGGCGCUCAUGAGCCACCAAUGUGUACUUGCUAAGCUUGCUCUAGACACUCGCAUUGGUAUACGCCUCGGGCCCGUCCGCCGUGUUGUAGGU